GAUGAACGCUGGCGGCGUGCCUAAUACAUGCAAGUCGAGCGAACAGAUGAGGAGCUUGCUCCUCUGACGUUAGCGGCGGACGGGUGAGUAACACGUGGAUAACCUACCUAUAAGACUGGGAUAACUUCGGGAAACCGGAGCUAAUACCGGAUAAUAUAUUGAACCGCAUGGUUCAAUAGUGAAAGACGGUUUUGCUGUCACUUAUAGAUGGAUCCGCGCCGCAUUAGCUAGUUGGUAAGGUAACGGCUUACCAAGGCAACGAGGCGUAGCCGACCUGAGAGGGUGAUCGGCCACACUGGAACUGAGACAGGGUCCAGACUCCUACGGGAGGCAGCAGUAGGGAAUCUUCCGCAAUGGGCGAAAGCCUGACGGAGCAACGCCGCGUGAGUGAUGAAGGUCUUCGGAUCGUAAAACUCUGUUAUUAGGGAAGAACAAAUGUGUAAGUAACUAUGCACGUCUUGACGGUACCUAAUCAGAAAGCCACGGCUAACUACGUG
rnacentral:rRNA from 1 species